UAUGAAAAUUUGUUAAUGUGUAUAUUUAAGAACGGUAAUAAGUUAAUAAAAAUAUUUAUAUAUAAAAAGAAUUAGUAAUAUGAAUUGAAUUUUUUAAGAUAAACUAAAGUUUAGAAGUAUUGUGAAAGAAAAUUGAAAUAAAUGAAAAUUUAAUAUAUUUAUAGUAAAAAUUAAAAUUUGUACCUUGUGUAUUAGGGAAAAUCAAAAUUAUUAAAAUAUUUUUGUAAUCCCGAAAAGAAAAUAGCUAAAAUUUUUAUUAAGUUUUUGUGGCAAAAAAUUUUAAAAAUUCUUUUUAGUAGUGAAAUGUUAAUCGAGUUUUUUGAUAUCUGGUUUUUUAAGAAAUAAAUUUAAUUUAGCUUUAUUAUAAAUUUAAAUAAUAAAAGUAAAAAUAGGAGGGUAGAGCUUCUUAUUUAAUGUAGAAAGAAUAUGAUAAAAAAUAUGUUAAUAAUUUUACUAGGCUUAGAAGUAGUUAAGUAAAUAAAGUGUUUUAACUAAUACUGUGUUUGUAUUGUUAUUUAUAUAUUAUCUGUAGUAUUAUUAGAAAAAAUUUUUAAGUUAGUUAUUAAUAGAUAAAAUGAUUUUAUUAGUAUAGUGUUUUAUAAGUAGUUAUAAUAAAAUUAAUAAAAAUUUAUAAUGAAAGUUUGGUUUAAGAAUUUAAGGAACUCGGCAAAAAAGUUUCUGCCUGUUUAUUAAAAACAUGUCUAUAUGGUGAUUUAUAAAGUCUAGCCUGCCCACUGAAAAUAAUUAAAUGGCCGCGGUAUUCUAACCGUGCGAAGGUAGCAUAACCAUUAGUCUUUUAACUGAAGACCUGUAUGAAUGGUUGGACAAGAAAUAUUCUGUCUCUAAUGCAAAAUUUGAAAUUAACUUUUAAGUGAAAAGGCUUAAAUAAAUUAGAGUGAUGAAAAGACCCUAUAAAGUUUAAUAUCAAAAGUUAAAUCUAUAGAAUUAUUAAGUAAAAAGGUGUUUAGUUCUUAAAAUUUUUCGUAGGGGCGACGGAGAGAUAAUAUGUAACUGGCUAUUAAUACAAUCAAAUAUACUUGUUUAUAAUUAAUCCAAUUUUUUAAUUAUAAGAGUAAGUAACUUCAGGGAUAACAGUGUUAUUUAUUUUGAGAGUUCAUAUCGACAAAAGAGUUUGCGACCUCGAUGUUGAAUUAAAAGUUCUUUAUAAUGUAGUAGUUAUAAAAGAAAGUCUGUUCGACUUUUAAAUUUUUACAUGAUUUGAGUUUAAACCGGCGUGAGCCAGGUUGGUUUCUAUCUUUUAAUAGUAAAUUAAUUACUUUAGUACGAAAGGAUUUGGUAAUUAAAAUAAUUUUUGUUUGUGAGAAUAAUUUU
rnacentral:rRNA from 1 species